GCUUCACCAAAGUAGUUAUGUGCCUCUCCAUCAGCUCCUGUGGAACUAGGAGCUCCGUCUUUAGAGGGAACACCUUAUCUCUUAGAAAUAGAAGAACUUUUUUGCGAAUGCUGUCCCAAGUGCUAAAAUCCUCAGCACUCUGAUCCUCGAUGCUCCCAAUAUGCUUAAACAAAGCAGUUAGAGAAGUCUUCACAUCCUGACGUAACACGGUCAUAAGAGCCUUGUGUACAGCAUCACGCUCUACAUUUUCUCCUGCAAUGAGGAGCUGACCAAGAAUGUCAACAAUUUUAGUCAACUGCUCAGGUGUAUCUUUGCAGAAAAGCGGAAGUCCGCGGAUUGCUUGUACACGGACCCCAAGCUCUUGAUCUUCAAUCAAAUUUAAGUGCUGAUCAAGUGCCUGCUCCGCUAACUCAGGGAAAAACUUAACAAACUUAGGGAUAAGCUGCGCAGCAAGUUGUUUAGCCUUCACACUUCCAUUCGCUGCCGCAAUAAUUCCUUCGUAGUCCUGCUUAUUCUCAGACUUGUCCUUUGCGUCGUUGAGACUUUCACCGAACUCGUAGAGCUUGUCUAUGUCGUCAGCAGCAUCCGCCAUUGAAGUAGAGAAUAGGAGAAAGUGCACCGGUGAAAAGCUAGGGUUUAGGAAAAGU
rnacentral:misc_RNA from 1 species